UACGUAGGGGGCAAGCGUUGUCCCGGAUUUAUUGGGCGUAAAGAGCGUGUAGGCGGCCAGGUAGGUCUGCUGUGAAAACUCGAGGCUUAACCUCGAGCUGUCGGCGGAAACCAUCUGGCUAGAGUCCGGAAGAGGAGAAUGGAAUUCCCGGUGUAGCGGUGAAAUGCGCAGAUAUCGGGAAGAACACCCGUGGCGAAGGCGGU
rnacentral:rRNA from 1 species